CAAAGACCUCCUAACUUUGAAUGAUAAAACUUUUUCAUAAUAAUCUCCCUAUAAGAGCCACCAAAACCGGUGGCUUUUUU
rnacentral:sRNA from 1 species